rnacentral:rRNA from 1 species
AGAGUUUGAUCCUGGCUCAGGACGAACGCUGGCGGCGUGCUUAACACAUGCAAGUGGAGCGACGAACCAGGGCUUGCCCUGGGGCAGAGCCGCGAACGGGUGAGUAACACGUGGGUAACCUGCCCCGAAGACCGGGACAACCCGAGGAAACUCGGGCUAAUACCGGAUGUGGUUGCUCUUCACAAGUAGAGCAAGCAAAGGGAGCUUCGGCCCCCGCUUCGGGAUGGGCCCGCGGCCCAUUAGCUUGUUGGUGAGGUAACGGCUCACCAAGGCGACGAUGGGUAGCUGGUCUGAGAGGACGAUCAGCCACACUGGGACUGAGACACGGCCCAGACUCCUACGGGAGGCAGCAGUGGGGAAUCUUGCGCAAUGGGCGACAGCCUGACGCAGCAACGCCGCGUGGGGGAAGAAGGCUUUCGGGUCGUAAACCGCUUUCAGCAGGGACGAAAUUGACGGUACCUGCAGAAGAAGGCCCGGCCAACUACGUGCCAGCAGCCGCGGUGAUACGUAGGGGUCUAGCGUUGUCCGGAAUUAUUGGGCGUAAAGAGCUCGUAGGCGGUUCGGCAAGUCGGAUGUGAAAUCUCCACGCUUAACGUGGAGGGGCCAUUCGAAACUGCCGUGACUCGAGUCCGGUAGGGGAGUUCGGAAUUCCCGGUGUAGCGGUGAAAUGCGCAGAUAUCGGGAGGAACACCAGUGGCGAAGGCGGAACUCUGGGCCGGAACUGACGCUGAGGAGCGAAAGCGUGGGGAGCGAACAGGAUUAGAUACCCUGGUAGUCCACGCCGUAAACGUUGGGCACUAGGUGUGGGGAACCUUCCACGUUCUCCGUGCCGCAGCUAACGCAUUAAGCGCCCCGCCUGGGGAGUACGGCCGCAAGGCUAAAACUCAAAUGAAUUGACGG